rnacentral:tRNA from 1 species
GGGGAUGUAGCUCAGUGGAAGAGCGCAUGCUUUGCAUGAAUGAGGUCCUGGUUCAACCCCAGCAUCUCCA